ACGGCGAGUGAAGCGGCAAAAGCCCAAAUUUGAAAUCCUCUUUUGAGGAGUUGUAAUUUGGAGAUGGAGUGCUGGACUCAGCUCUGUGGAAGUUGGCUGGAAAGCCGCGCCUUGGAGGGUGAUAGCCCCGUGCCACGGAGGUCCUGUGUCUGUGUAGUACUCUUUCUACGAGUCGCGUUGUUUGGGAAUGCAGCGCUAAGUGGGUGGUAAAUUCCAUCUAAGGCUAAAUAUUGGCGAGAGACCGAUAGCGAACAAGUACUGUAAAGGAAAGAUGAAAAGCACUUUGAAAAGAGAGUGAAAUAGCACGUGAAAUCGUUGAAGUGGAAGGGCUUAAAGCUACACACCUUCUUCGGAAGGGGCUAACAUCAGUUCUGCCGGACGGAUAAAUGGUAAAGAAAGUGGCAUUUUCGGAUGUGUUAUAGCUUUAUCAAAUACGUCCCGGCGGGAUUGAGGACCGCGC
rnacentral:rRNA from 1 species